rnacentral:sRNA from 1 species
ACUACCCCGACCGCCCUAAAGCAUCACUGAGACCCACAAGUUGUGACUGGUCACCCAGCUCUGGGGAAUGUCCCCAUAAUAGAACUGCAGAUGUGCACAGACCAUGCCUGGCUCUGUUAUCUGGGUGCUGGGAAUCCUAAGACAGAACUUCAUGCUUGUACAGGAAGCAGAGGCAUGAAGCUAUGCUGUCCAUGAUCUCUACACCACACAGUCAGCCCCAAGUGUUGAGCAAAGAGACCUGAACCUUCCCAUGCCUUUGAUGUUCAAGGUUCCUACAGGCAUGAUCAUCCAUACUACUGAAGGGGCCAUGAGAGCAGUUCGUCCAUGCAAGCCCUACUGGACACAGGCAUCUCCACCCUGAAGACAGAAACUAAAAGACCUUCUUUCAAACUGAACUGGCCCUGGGCCAUGACUUUGAACCUGGAUACCACUGAGUUGGUAAUCAAUGAACCAUAGAAAUGUAUCAAACUCACAGUGCUAAAGAUCAGGAGUGUGGUGACAGCACUUGGAAAGCGCCUUUAUGCUUCAUCAAAGAGAAUAGAAAAGAAAGUGAGCAUGGUCCAGACCCAGACAGAGGACAUGGGCUAACCUUUUCUUGUUAUCAAGAACCCCUUCCACCGCUGACCUAUGUCCUUCAUCUAUUUGUAAAUGCAGAACUUAAACGCAUUAUAAAGGUUCUGCCUCUUAGCAAUGGUUCAAUGGCAAGUCAACUUCAACACAAAUUAAGGAGGAGCAUCGACCACAGAAAGAGUGUAGACGCUAAGUACAACACCCCCAUGCAAGCCUUCUUCAGAUCAUAAAGAACAGAAGGCAGGUCAAACUUUCAUUCCUAUGUAACCCCUCAGACCCUGGCUCAGAACAAAUAUCUGAGAGUCAGUAUGGGAAGAGUAACAACAAAGACCCAGGCAGUCUUGUUUACUGACUGGGAAGGUAUUUCCUUGGCUUAUAAACAAGAUGUCUAAGAUGAGACGUUUAAGAUGUUUAUUUAGGUCCUUGAGCAAAUUUGAAAGUCAGGUUACUUUGUUUAAAGUGACUGCCAAUGGAACUUUCAAUCCUCUUGUCUUUGGUUUUUUGGAAGGUGGUGAAGUUUAUAGAUAUGGUGUGACUUUGAGAUGUUACUUAGCAUAAGGCUGGGUCAGGUUCUUGAGACUUUACCUGAGAGGGGUUAUACCACCCGAGUGUCACAUUUAUCCAACAUUACCUGUCUUCUGCAGUCCUCUUUCCAAACACUUCCUGCUGCUUUGUGAAUUGAGGGCAGAGACUUUCUCUCUGAACUAACACAACAGCCACCAUCUGCAUGAGAACAUUCUGGACUUGAAAUGUGUGGUCCAAGUUGAAAUGAGCUACAAGAGCAAAUAAACAGAGACUGCAAGACAUAGUAUAUACAGCAAGUAUACCAUAACUUGUUAACCUGACAUACUGGAGAAAGUGAAAUAAUAAAAUUAAUGUCAGCUAUUCUUACAUUUUAUUGUAUGUACUAGAAAAUUUUUACAUGAGACAUUUUGUUGGAACAAUGCUGGUUAGUAAUCAAAUAACUUUUCCAAACCAUGAUUUCAUUUAAAUUUAGAGAAAAGGAGAGCUCUAAGUUGGAAUGCAGCUGCCCGGAGUGUGUAGUAUUGAGGAAAACUUCCAUGCAUGAACAGAUUUAAAACCCAUGACCACCUAUAGAGAGGGGACUCUGGGUCUCCCCAGUAUACAAACAGACAUAGGACAUACAGAAAUGACAAGUCACCGUCGUUUUGGUAUGGCAAAGCUGGCAGUUAGCCCAGACCACAAGUCCUCAGUGUCUGAUUUUGUUAUGACUGGGACGUACCCUUGUGAACCUCUCAGAAUGUGGUUAGUAAUGGAGAUUCUCAUUUCAAAGGAAGUUUUAUCUUGGGUGACAUCUUUCUGGCUGACUUUGAAGCAACAGUGAGAAAACAUCCGAAUUCACUAUUAAUACAGCAUGAAUUCUAGAGCCAGCCAAGAUGGCUUCCUGAGGGUUGGCUUGGGGACCCGAUGAAGUUACUUUGCAAUGACUCUGGUGGGAAGUAUGAGUGACUGGGGACAUAGGGUGAUAAACCUUCCUAUCCAGCAAACCACAGUUAUACAGACACGGAGAGGAGACAGGGAAUAGCUGUCCAAUUGGGUUGUGGAAAAGCUCUGACAAUACGAGAAGGCUCUGCUGCAGAGGCUUGGCAUACAUUAAGGGCUUGAUAAACAUCUGCUCUUUCCUCUGGGCUUCCUUUGUUAAAAUCUUAAGUUAAAAGUUGCUAUUAAUGACUUAAAAGCACUGUAGGGCAAUGCACUCAGCACACCCAGGCACCAGCUACAUAGUGCAAUGCCCUCACAGUGACUUCAGAGAACCUUCUAGAGCUUUCCUCAAACAUAUCCAUGCUACAAAAGGUGUCGUUAUGUUGUUUUGUACACUAAAUCAAUGUUGUUAUGAUUUUAUUUUUCUCCCAAUUCCUGUGUACUGCUUUUUAGUUUAACAAAUUAAAAGACAUCUUGAGUAUACAUGACUUUCACUUACAGGUAGGUUGUGGCAUAUUACAGACAGAUAAAAUAUUUUUAAACAAUGCCUUAUCUUACCUAGGAGGUGAAUAGUAAGUUAGUGGGGUUUAUUAUCCAUUUUCCAGCCCCUCUACCCACAGUCUCGGAUGAUUUUCUAGAGUUGGUUUCCUUGGACUGUAUCCCUUGUUUUAAAUUCCAUUUUAUAAUAGCCCCUCUCUCCUGCUCUCUCUUAUUCUUUUCCUGUGUCCUUUCCCACAACGAUACAUAUGGAAUGGAGGAACAAAAGUGAGAAAAGACAGCAACACGCAGCUGCAGGAUGAGACCAGUGGAGCAAAGCUCAGCAAGGGUCACAAACAUCUACUGCUGCAGGGCCCUGUGUGCCUUUCCCAGGAGCUGUGCUUUUCCUCUGAGCGUCCCAGCAGGGAUGGCUUAACAAUUAAAAGAUCACAAUGCUCAUGAGAUUCAGUUUGAGAAGUAAACCCAGAAUCCUCUUCUGGGUGAGUGAAGGUUCCUAGCAGUGCCACCAAAGCACUGGAUCUCAUUUUUCUUUUUUAACAAACUAACUAACUAACUAAGUAAGUAACUAACUAACUAAAACAGUGUUGAAAAGAAAACUAACAUGAACUUGAACUUGAGCCUAGAACCCCCUUUCAUGAGAAUGGAGCCCAGGAGGUACAGAGCCUGCCUGAUGCCUGGGGCAAAACUCUUGGCUUUCUAGAGCAGUGGAAUCUGAGUCGGACUACAAGCACCUGUCUUUUGAAAGGAUGCCAGGCUGAAUGAAAAAAGGAAAGC